rnacentral:rRNA from 1 species
UACGUAGGGGGCAAGCGUUGUCCGGAUUUAUUGGGCGUAAAGAGCGUGUAGGCGGCCAUACAGGUCAGCUGUGAAAACUCGAGGCUCAACCUCGAGACGUCGGUUGAAACCGUAUGGCUAGAGUCCGGAAGAGGAGAGUGGAAUUCCCGGUGUAGCGGUGAAAUGCGCAGAUAUCGGGAAGAACACCAACGGCGAAAGCACUCUGCUGGGCCGACACUGACACUGAGAGACGAAAGCUAGGGGAGCGAAUGGG